GACGCUAGGAAACUGCCAUGGCGGGGAAGCCGCUCCGAGUCGCCCCUGAGCCUAGAUGGGUCGUGAGCAUCGUCAUUCCAGACCAGGCUGGGCAGAUUCUGCCCGGAGACUGAGAUUGUACAUCAGGCCCACAGCUGCGCGGCGCAUUAGGAGACGGCGCCAUCAAUAACGAGGCUUCUGCGGAGCGAACAGAAUACAUGACAUACAUGAUGGGGAUUCAACUGAAAAAUUUUCAGACAUCUCUAUUCUUUUAUCUUCUCGGAGGGGGGGCCCUUUUGCCUCUCUCUUGAGUCUUGGCGAACUCUGGAGAAAGUAAAAGCCAAACCUGCCUGCUCUCGCCCGUUCUCCUGAAGGCUGCACACCUGCCCCUCCCGCCCCCAGACUGGGGAGCUCCCGGGUCCAGUGAUUGCAUAGCACGGACGCCGCUGGAAACAUCUUCGAGAAUUCAUUAGGAUUGCACAACGAGAUUUUAAUCGAGGAAGAGAUCAGUUCCCUCAGGUCACUGGAAUGGAUCGUUAAAGUAGGGCAACAAGUGUUCUGCCGCAUGACACUUUUUCGAAAAUGCGAGUUGGUGAGAAAGAAUUCAGGAGAUACCUUUGUAGCGAAUGGCACCAACCGCAGUGAGGGUCUGUGGCUGUUAAACACUCCGAACAGGAUUUAUGUUUAUUGCAGUUUGCAACACGAAUUCUCCUCACCUAAAAGGAAAGAGGACAAUGGUUCAGAUGGAAUUAUAAGCAACAGCAGGAAAACUACAACACCUUAUCUAAUGAAGGGCCAAAAAGAGCCUAUUUAUCAACUUGAACUCAACACCUCCAUAUUGGCACUGGGCAGUGGGUCUCAAGUUCUAGGACAUGAAGUCAUUGUAUCACAAUCACCUGGGGAGCUUUUGACAGUGCGUAUUCCCAGGCCUCUGCCGCAGAGACUCUCGCUAAGUCUGGGGGCGGAGCCUAGGAAUGUGUAUUUUUUCAUUUAAAAGAUUUUUUUCUUAAAGACACAGGGUCUCACUACGUUGCCCAGGCUGGUUUUGAACUUCUGGGCUCAAAGCACUCCUCCCAAAAGUGCUGAGGUUGCAGGCGUGCACCACUGUGUCUGGCCAGGAAUCUGUAUUUUAAGAGCUCUCUCUCAGGGACUAUCCUGAGCUGGAUCCUUCAGUUCCAAGUUGACUUCAUGGAGGAUAACCACGCCCUUCCAUUUCAUAGUCCCCAACACUGCUGACAGAUGCAGCUGGCAGCCCGUGAUCCUGAGCCGGAAUUAACCAGAAUGGAGAUUAUGCAAACAAUGCUCUCCAUAAUCCUGAGGACAGGACAAGAGGAAGUUUUAGUUUUCACCACAAAGGUCCCAAAUGUGCUACACAGAGGGGUGAGGGAUUUCUGCUUCCGUGGCCCCUGGAGUCUCAUCUCUCUCAGAUGACUAAAGGACAGGAAUGAAGUGCUUCGUGCUGCAUCCUGCCUUCAACGACAGGAAACUGAGUUUGUUACACAAAUCUCUGGAAGAUAUGGAGCUAGGAAGAGCCGUUGCCGUCUGCAGCUACUGAACACAGUGUGAUAGCACACUUUAUCUGCCAGAGCUCAGUUCCCAACUGUACUAAGGUUUUUAAAGGCACAUUGAAGUUGCAGCCAGCAAACUUCAGUAAGCAACACAGCAACUCCUAAAAUCGCCCUAUUUGGGGAGGGGGAGGUAGCCACGCGGAGGCUAAGACUUAUUAACUUCAUUAUAUUAUUGCCAACAGUGUUUAUGUCUUUCAAUUUAUGUCUUAUUAAAUAUUCAUUAUUUUUAAACCCACCAAGUUUCAUUAACAUCUAAACUAAAUGGAUUAUGGGCUAAAUUGAUUUCUGAAGCCUUUAAAGUGCCAUCUAUAUUUCUUUGUUGAGGUUGCGCUGCAAGGAAAAGAUAAGCUAGCCAGGAUUUGUCCAAUGCCCUGAUCACUUUUCAAGGAAAAGAUGUCAUAACCUAAGAGAAGGCAAUGUUUUUGCAUAAGAUAUUCUAUAGUGAACUCGGUUUAAGAAGAUUUAGGGAAAGCUCAUUAGAGUUUCUUUUUCCCUUGUUGAAAGAUACUUUUCAUGCAAUAUGGGAAGAUGAGGAGCUGUCCUGUGAAAACUGAAGUGAAGGAAAAAAAAUUCUCUGUGGGUCUAAGGUUGGAACAAUAGAUCACUGUUUAGAUAAGGAAGCCUCAUGACUAUGAGCAGAAAGAGAAAAGUCGGAUGACCUUUAGGAUUAAAAAAAUAAGUAAAACCAUGCCACACAUCUUGCUUUAAAAUAAAUCCAGAAUUGUUCAAACG